GCCCAAACGAAGUCAGCGUGCACUCAGAAAGUGGAAACAGAAAGUCGUCCGGCUGCUGCCCCGCACCCGCGAUGCAACCUCUUCGAGGGAUCACCUUGAUUCUGCUGUUCCACGGAAUGCUAGCGACAAGUGGUGUGCAAACAGCAGGUUUGCAAACAUUUGGCGACCGGUUUAGAAAGCCUCUACUUCUGGAUCAGCUUCAAGUUACCGAAGAAGGACUUCAUGCACCGCAACGCCAGAAAAGGACCAUGAUCGACGACCGCAGAGUUUCUCUGCUUCCGUUGCAAGUUCGGUCACAACUCACCAGGACAGCACGUUUCGAAAAAGAUCUGUCGUACAAUCGUAUUACUAGUCGCGCAGACUACGUAAACUUCGCCAUUAUGAACCGCUCAAGGUUGCUACGAAGAAGUGCACCGAUAAGUGAAGCGUUAAAAAAUGCCCUAGACGUAGUUUUGGGAUCCAGAUGGCCGCCAAAUGCAUAUGAUCCAAUUCAUGCGGUGAUGAAAACUCGAUUCAGAAGAGACACACAAAAUACAACUCUACGGCGGCGAAAGCGUUACAUUUGGCCAUUUUUGGCCCUCAGCUGGCUGUAUUUGCCAUACUUAUACUCAGGAUUGUAUAGUUAUUCUGCUUUAUAUUCGCCGUUUUAUUACAGUUACCCUUACUACACAUAUGGCUACGGGUAUUAUCCGUACAGAUGGGUCUAUCCAGUUUAUGUGAAUCCUGUCCAACCGACAGCCACCACCGCAGCACCUGCCGCGGCGCGCUAAUGGUGUCAUUCCAUUGGUGAUCUUAUUGCCUCGGAAAUGUAAUAAACAUCAGUUUUAUUGAAUGAUAA